CCCGGGAGGGGAGUGAAAGAGAACCUGAAACCUUGUGCUUACAAGCACUCAAAGCCCGUUAAGGGGUGAUGAGGUACCUUUUGUAGAAUGGUCCGGCGAGUUAUUGUUAUCAGCAAGCUUAAGGUAUUCAGUACCGAAGGCGUAGGGAAACCGAGUGUGAAUAGCGCGCAUGAAGUUGGUGGCAAUAGACCCGAAACCGGGUGACCUAUCCAUGGGCAGGUUGAAGUGGAGGUAAAACUCCAUGGAGGACCGAACGCACGUUCGUUGCAAUGACCGGCGAUGACCUGUGGAUAGCGGUGAAAUUCCAAUCGAACCCGGAGAUAGCUGGUUCUCCCCGAAAUAGCUUUAGGGCUAGCGUUAUGUUAGAUUACCGGAGGUAAAGCACUGAAUGGGCUAGGGGCUGAUAAAGUUACUGAACCCUAUCAAACUCAGAAUGCCGGCUAAUUGAUGCAUAGCAGUCAGACUACGUGAGAUAAGUCUCGUGGUCAAAAGGGAAACAGCCCAGACCCACAGCUAAGGUCCCUAAUGCAUGCUAAGUGGAAAACGAUGUGGAAUUGCGAAAACAACCAGGAUGUUGGCUUAGAAGCAGCCACACAUUAAAAGAGUGCGUAAUAGCUCACUGGUCGAGUGGUCUUGCGCGGAAAAUAUAACGGGGCUAAGCAGUUAACCGAAGCUUGGGCUUGCCGAAGGCAGGGGUAGGGGAGCGUCGAAUACGGGGUGAAGUCGCAGCGGGAGCAGCGGUGGACUGUAUUCGAGUGAGAAUGCCGGAAUGAGUAGCGAGAAUUAUGUGGGAAUCAUAAUGGCCGAAAAUCUAAGGUUUCCUGGGGAAGGUUCGUCCGCCCAGGGUUAGCCGGGAGCUAAGGCGAGGCCGCGAGGCGUAGUCGAUGCACAUACGGUUGAAAUUCCGUAGCCACCUUAUCGAAUGAAAGCUGACACUUGGAAAUAGCGGGACCCGGAGAUUGGUAGAUCCGGGCGUAAGGGACCGAACACGAGUAGGGAAGUCCGCGAUGUUCUGAGGCGAGAAAAGGCGAAGGUAGGGUGCCCGUACCGCAAACCGACACAGGUAGAUGAGGAGAGAAUCCUAAGGCCAACGGGAGAAGGGUUGUUAAGGAACUCGGCAAAUUGACCCCGUAACUUCGGAAGAAGGGGAGCCUCGAAAGAGGCCGCAGUGAAUAGGCCCAAGCAACUGUUUACCAAAAACACAGGUCUAUGCUAAAUCGAAAGAUGACGUAUAUGGGCUGACGCCUGCCCGGUGCUGGAAGGUUAAGAGGAGAUGUCAGGCAACGAAGCAUUGAAUCGAAGCCCCAGUAAACGGCGGCCGUAACUAUAACGGUCCUAAGGUAGCGAAAUUCCUUGUCAGGUAAGUUCUGACCCGCACGAAUGGCGUAACGAUUUGGGCGCUGUCUCAACAGCCCACCCGGCGAAAUUGUUGUACUGGUGAAGAAGCCAGUUACCCGCAACUAGACGGAAAGACCCCAUGGAGCUUUACUGCAGCUUAAUACUGAGAUUCGGUAAUUCAUGUACAGGAUAGGUGGGAGACAUGGAAGUACGGUCGUCAGGCCGUAUGGAGUCGCCCUUGGGAUACCACUCUUGGAUUGCUGGGUUUCUAACCUGCGGCCGUGAAUCCGGUCGGGGGACACUGUUAGGCAGACAGUUUGACUGGGGCGGUCGCCUCCUAAAAGGUAACGGAGGCGCUCAAAGGUUGGCUCAGCACGGACGGAAAUCGUGCGGUGAGUGUAAACGUAUAAGCCAGCCUAACUGCGAGAGUGACGGCUCGAGCAGUAACGAAAGUUGGAGUUAGUGAUCCGGUGGUAUGUGAGUGGAAAUGC
rnacentral:rRNA from 1 species